rnacentral:rRNA from 1 species
CAGCAUCAGCCGCGGGAAUACGUAGGUGGCAAGCGUUGUCCGGAAUUAUUGGGCGUAAAGGGCUCGCAGGCGGUUUCUUAAGUCUGAUGUGAAAGCCCCCGGCUCAACCGGGGAGGGUUAUUGGAAACUGGGAAACUUGAGUGCAGAAGAGGAGAGUGGAAUUCCACGUGUAGCGGUGUAAUGCGUAGAGAUGUGGAGGAACACCAGUGGCGAAGGCGACUCUCUGGUCUGUAACUGACGCUGAGGAGCGAAAGCGUGGGGAGCGAACAGGAUUAGAUACCCCUGUAGUCCCUGUCUCUUAUAC